UCUGUUUGAUCCCGGCGGAGGUUACUGCUAUCGAGGUUCGACUAAGCCAUGCGAGUCGAAUGUAGCAAUACAUGGCGUACUGCUCAGUAACACGUGGACAACCUGCCCUUGAGACGGGGAUAAACCCGGGAAACUGGGUAUAAUACCCGAUAGAUCUCGAUUGCUGGAAUGCAUCGAGUUCCAAAGCUCCGGCGCUCAAGGAUGGGUCUGCGGCCUAUCAGGUAGUAGUGGGUGUAGCGUACCUACUAGCCUACGACGGGUACGGGUUGUGAGAGCAAGAGCCCGGAGAUGGAUUCUGAGACACGAAUCCAGGCCCUACGGGGUGCAGCAGGCGCGAAAACUUUACAAUGCUGGAAACAGCGAUAAGGGGACCUCGAGUGCCAGGUUACAAAUCUGGCUGUCGUGAUGCCUAAAAAGCAUUGCAUAGCAAGGGCCGGGCAAGACCGGUGCCAGCCGCCGCGGUAACACCGGCGGCUCGAGUGGUAACCGUUAUUAUUGGGUCUAAAGGGUCUGUAGCCGGCCGGAUAAGUCUCUUGGGAAAUCUGGCAGCUUAACUGUCAGGCUCUUAGGAGAUACUGUCCGGCUCGAGGCCGGGAGAGGUGAGAGGUACUUCAGGGGUAGGGGUGAAAUCUUGUAAUCCUUGAAGGACCACCAGUGGCGAAGGCGUCUCACCAGAACGGACCUGACGGCAAGGGAC
rnacentral:rRNA from 1 species